UACGUAGGGUGCGAGCGUUGUCCGGAAUUACUGGGCGUAAAGAGCUCGUAGGUGGUUUGUCGCGUUGUUCGUGAAAACUCACAACUCAAUUGUGGGCGUGCGGGCGAUACGGGCAGACUGGAGUACUGCAGGGGAGACUGGAAUUCCUGGUGUAGCGGUGGAAUGCGCAGAUAUCUGGAGGAACACCGGUGGCGAAGGCGGCAUCCUGGACCGGCAUUGACGCUGAGGAGCGAAAGCCAGGGGAGCAAACGGG
rnacentral:rRNA from 1 species